CUGCCUCCCAAGAGACCCGAGCUCUGCAGUGGCUUCCCACGCCUGCCACGGUGCGUGGUCCCAAACAGAUGCGCCGCAGACAGCAGGAGCCUUGGAUGACCCUGGUGUCGGGGUGCUCACUACCUCUCACUGGUGAUUAUCCUGAUCAUUAGAAGGCAGCAUUUGGCUCCAUCCAUCUCCAGCCUCUGUGUGCCCCCCACCCAGCAGCUGAGAAUGACCCCCUUUCCCACGCCAGGCAAGUCCCCAGAGGGAGCUUUGGCUGGAAGAAGAAGCUACCAGACUGGGGGCCAAGAGAGGGGAGACGCUGGUGAGGGACAACAGUGGCUCAGUGUUUUCCAGGAAGGCUGGAGUGCACGAAGAAUGCAAAGGUGCACGGGCUAGCGGUUCACUCGGCCCUCUGCCUCAUCUUUCUUCUUUUUCAAGAAAUGGUACAUUUUUAACACCAUCUUGGAACGCUUCCCACAGGACCCAGUAAGCCGCUUCUAGAUAUUUUCCCGAGAAAAAUAAAACCUCGUGUUCCCACGAAUGUUUACAGUGGUGUUGUUCGUAAUCGCCAACAACUAGAUACAGUCUUACAUGACCGUCAGUGGGUGACUGGAAAACAGUAGCGGAAUAACUUAUA